AUGGCUGUCGUCAGCUCGUGUCGUGAGAUGUUGGGUUAAGUCCCGCAACGAGCGCAACCCUCGUCCUCAGUUGCCAUCAUUUAGUUGGGCACUCUGGGGAGACUGCCGGUGAUAAGCCGGAGGAAGGUGGGGAUGACGUCAAGUCCUCAUGGCCCUUACAGGCUGGGCUACACACGUGCUACAAUGGUGGUGACAGAGGGAUGCUACGGGGCGACCCUAGGCAAAUCUCAAAAAGCCAUCUCAGUUCAGAUUGCACUCUGCAACUCGAGUGCAUGAAGGUGGAAUCGCUAGUAAUCGCAGAUCAGCAUGCUGCGGUGAAUACGUUCCCGGGCCUUGUACACACCGCCCGUCACACCAUGGGAGUUGGCUUUACCCGAAGACGGCGUGCUAACCGCAAGGAGGCAGCCGGCCACGGUAGGGUCAGCGACUGGGGUGAAGUCGUAACAAGGUAGCCGUAGGGGAACCUGCGGCUGGAUCACCUCCUUUCUAAGGUUCGUCCUUUUCAUGGUCAUCUCGGCCACGACUCGGUCGACUUCAGAACAAUGUCCCGUGCUAACGCACAGGGAAUGGGGCCGCGCCGUCCUCGUUUCUCUUUCAUCGGAACAAGCCUUGUCAGUCGUCCUUGCCAGCUCUCUUGGCGGACGGUAUGGGAAGCGCGGUCUAAGGGCCUGUAGCUCAGGUGGUUAGAGCGCACCCCUGAUAAGGGUGAGGUCGGACGUUCGAGUCGUCCCAGGCCCACCAGCUGUCUUGAUGCUUCGGGCACCCGUUGCCUUUGAUUUCUGGGGCCAUAGCUCAGCUGGGAGAGCGCCUGCUUUGCAAGCAGGAGGUCGUCGGUUCGAUCCCGUCUGGCUCCACCAUACGAAACUGGCAGCCGGAGCUUGUUCCAAAGGAAUUCGAGAGGACGCCUCCUUGCAUCCUUCUCGUGUUGUUUUCAAAUCGUGAAGAGGUGACGCAAUCGUCGUUCCGCUCCUGGCAUCGAUGCCUUUGGUAUCGAUCCAGGUGGGAGGCAACCGCAUCGAGGCGGCUGUCAUGACGAAUGUGUCCAAGAAGUUAGCUGGUCUUUCCGAUCGGUGUCCAAAUCCUUGAGGCUGUGGGUCACUCCAAAGCCCGAGGCGGGCAUCGACGAUGAGAGCAAUCAAGUGCCUUAAGGGUAUUCGGUGGAUGCCUUGGCGCUGAGAGGCGAUGAAGGACGUGGUACGCUGCGAUAAGCCGUGGGGAGCUGCGAACAAGCUUUGAUCCGCGGAUUUCCGAAUGGGGAAACCCGG
rnacentral:sRNA from 2 species